rnacentral:lncRNA from 1 species
CUCAAUGUCAUUAAUGGCAUAUUACAUGCAUAUCAAUUAGUGUUUAAAAAUUCAGCAUGCUAUACAUGCAUACAGUACAUACAUUUUCAUUAGGACUUAGUAAUCAGAGAUUUGACACCAAUGUAUGGUCAACCAAUUACAGCACAAAGUCAUACAUCACAUACAGCUCAUACACAAUUCAUUCGGUUCCAAUAUUGCCUUUAACAAUCGAGCUAUCUAUUUAAACACGUACCUCACUCAGCACCUCAUCUACUAGCACCUAAGCCAUUCAACCAUGUCAAAACCAGUAAGUAAAUUUACCAUUUAAACACAUAUUAGGUUUUUAGACUAAUUUAGCAAAAGGAAAGAUCAACACCUUAAUUCGCAAGUGCACAACACUAAUCUGUAAAGUUCGUGCUUCCACACUUAAGCCUUAGAUGUUCCUAAAUCAAAAUUAGAGCACUUAACAUAUUAAAUUACAGUUAAAACCAACCUUGAAACACCCUUUCAGGGUUUGGCCAAAUCAGUGCUAUACUAACAAUUUCUUAGAUCAUUUCGACAAGGUAACUUACAUUGAUUUGAUGCCAAAUGAGGGUGCAAAUGAAAUUCGACUUCACUGCUGAUCUGAGACAUCAAAAUCAGUUUCUAAGUUCGAAAUAACACACAAAAAUAAAUAAUUAAAAUUUAACCUAAAGCCUUGAGCAUUCGGCCAAAACAGUAACCAUUAACGAAAUCAAAUGGCAUAAGAUCUUGCAUAAAUCCGCACUUACACUAUCCAAUAACCAGAUCUGAGAUGUCGAAUGAACGUGUUCGGAUACCCUAUUUAUUUGGAACAUUAAGGGAUAUUUUAAAUAGAGAAAAAACAAAGAACACAUUGUUGUAAGGGGUGACAAAUGAAGAGAAAACAGCAGCCCAAACUAUUGGUGUUCUAAGGGCGGAAACACCACAAACAACGAUAGAAAAAGAGGCUGACUUAGGCAGCACAAAGAGAGAUCUUAGGGCAGUAGAGGGGAUGGUUUUUAGGGCUAGAAAUAAUAGUAAAGUGGCUGUGAAAACAAUAGCAAAAUUGACAAGCAAAGGAAAAGAAAAGAGAAGGAAAACUGAAACUAAUUGGUACCACGACAAGUGGAGGAGAGAGGCGGCUGGACAGCAAAGGGAGGCUGAUUUAGGGAUUAAAAUGACAAUAAUGCGGCUAGAAAAAUGGCAGAAAAAUAAUAGGCAAAGAGGUGGCACAACAAUGGUGAAUUUCACUGUGUUUGGAAUGGCACAAGGGGAAAAAGAAAAAAAUUAGAAGAAUGGGAGAGGGAGAUGAAAGGGACAUCAAAAGCAGAGGAAGAACAGAGGAGAGAUAGAAAAAACGAUAGAAAUAACAUAUAUACCUAGGGUUUAGCUAGGUUGGGCG